GAUCCGUCCCCCUCUCGUGCCCUAACCGUCGGCAGUUCCUCCUCUCCCUCGCGAUUUAACCCCUCGGCAAGGGUUUCGCUUCCUCUUCCUCGCCACGGUUGAUCUCCCUUCUCUUCAUUUGCCCGAUCCCCUCUCCUCAUCCAUUUCGAACCCUGCGCCGCUGACGUCUUCUCCUCGCCAGCACUUGAGCGCCGCUCGACAUCAACUGGUGCCGCACUUUCCCUCUUCGGAUCUGCGCACAGACGCCGAUCCACCUCCACCGGCCACCGGGUCCGACCCAGCGCCUUGUCGCCUCAGCCCUAGUGCCGGCCAAACUCCUCUGCCAUAGAUUUGUUCCUCUUUGUUGCAUCUCUGAACAGCGUCGCUGCCACCUGAGGCCGUGCCACCGUGUGUCGAUCGCCGUGCAUCGACGCCGAUCUUUUCUUCCUACCUCUCCGCCGUGCCUAGCAAUGAUCCUUAAGGAGGAAGAUCUCGGAUCAGUUCUUACUGUAUUUCCAUAUCAGAGCUUGGAUCUUCUCCUCUGUUCUUGAUCAUCCCUUCCUUGCGGUGGAUUUAGGUCACGGUUGAGAAGCAAAGCUUUAAACUCCAUCAGGAAACAUUCUUCUCUGUGGGGUUUUCUUGGUCCAGCAAUUUAAUCCAGUAGCUGCUCACAUUAGGUCCAGUAGCAACGAUCCUUGCUGUUGAGCAACAGCGACUAUAGUUGAGGACUUUGACGCGAGACGAGUAUCACGAUUACCGAUUUGGACUUUUCAAUUGCAGG